AAAUUACGGAAAGACCCCUUAUCCGGAAUACCCUUGGUCCCGAGCAUGGAAAACGGGUCCUAUACCUGUACUAAAUUGUAUGCUGAGGACCCCAUAUUGAGUGACACUGCUGUGGAGAAGCAAACUGAAACGCCUUUAAAAAGUCCCAGGAGGCGGGUGAAACACGUGUCGGGUAUGCAGAUUUAAACAGACAGUCAAGAAAAUAUCCUGGUAAAAAGGGUGACAGUCUGGCUGUGGAAGCCUAAAAUACCUGCUCUGUUUUCAGCUCUGCUGGGAGUGGGACACCUCCACUUACAGGCAUAAUAAGGAACUGGCAUAAUAAGGAACUACCUGGGCAGCAUCACCCCAGAAGAAGUUGACAAAAUAGAGCUCAGAUCAAAUCUAAUUUCUGAGAUUUCCUUGGGCCAUCAUGCAACUUAAACUUCUACCUACAGAUUUCCAACUGCCAUUCCAAAACAUUAAACUUGCUUUUUUAAAGUUGAUUAUGGUUACUUUUGAGGUAUGUUUAGGAUUGUUGUGUUGUUGUAUGAGCCAUGCCCUUUUCAGCUUCGGAUUCUUGGCUGACUGCUUCAUAUUGGCAUCCAAAAUGUGCUCAUAUUUUGUGGAAUCCUUUCUUCUCUCUACACAAACAAUGUUUUCUCCACCGCUGGCUGCCUUAGAACCCCAAAGCUUAAUGGAUCCACCAACGUCUUUAACAGGGUGCUGCUACUUUGUUUCUCUAAACAAAUUUUUGGUGAUUGUGGCCAAAGACUUCAACUUUUACUUCAUCACUUGUUGUAACUUGUUCCCAAAAGGCCUCUGGCUUGUCUAGAUGCUGUUUUGCCUACCUCAGAAGUUGAAAUUUGUCAUGAGGUUGCAGGUAAGGCUUCCCUGAUGCAGAUCAUGUUUGUGCAAGCAACGUGCAAUGUAGAACAGUGCAAUGCCACUCCUGUGUCAGCAAAACUUUCCUGUGGGUCCUUUGCAGUCAUAUGAGGGGUUGCCUUUGUCAUUCUGGCCACCAAACAAGCAGUUCUUACUGGAAAUUUUUAUUCAGACUUUGCCUUGAGCUCCACAGUCCACCUUAACUGCCAUCUCAUGAUUAUAUUGCAGACAGUAAAAAUUGUGAGCUGAAA